rnacentral:rRNA from 1 species
ACGUAGGGUGCGAGCGUUAAUCGGAAUUACUGGGCGUAAAGCGUGCGCAGGCGGUUGUGUAAGUCAGAUGUGAAAUCCCCGGGCUUAACCUGGGAAGUGCAUUGGAAACUGCGGGGCUUGAGUGCGGGAGAGGGGGGUGGAAUUCCCCGUGUAGAGGUGAAAUGCGUAGAGAUGUGGAGGAAUACCGAUGGCGAAGGCAGCCACCUGGGCCGUUACUGACGCUCAUGCGCGAAAGCGUGGGGAGCAAACAG